GACGAACGCUGGCGGCGUGCCUAAUACAUGCAAGUAGAACGCACAGUUUAUACCGUAGCUUGCUACACCAUAGACUGUGAGUUGCGAACGGGUGAGUAACGCGUAGGUAACCUGCCUGGUAGCGGGGGAUAACUAUUGGAAACGAUAGCUAAUACCGCAUAAUAUUGAUUAUUGCAUGAUAAUUAAUUGAAAGGUGCAAUUGCACCACUACCAGAUGGACCUGCGUUGUAUUAGCUAGUAGGUGAGGUAACGGCUCACCUAGGCGACGAUACAUAGCCGACCUGAGAGGGUGAUCGGCCACACUGGGACUGAGACACGGCCCAGACUCCUACCGGAGGCAGCAGUAGGGAAUCUUCGGCAAUGGACGGAAGGCUGACCGGGCAACGCCGCGUGGGUGAAGGAGGUUUUCGGAUCGUAAAGCUCUGUUGUAAGAGAAGAACGGGUGUGAGAGUGGAAAGUUCACACUGUGACGGUAUCUUACCAGAAAGGGACGGCUAACUACGUG
rnacentral:rRNA from 1 species